rnacentral:rRNA from 1 species
GAAUCUACCCAAUGGUGUGGAAUACCUUAUCGAAAGAUGAGCUAAUACCACAUGACCCCGCAAGGGAAAAGCGCUUAACCGCGCGCCGAUGGAUGAGCCUAUUUCCCAUCAGCUAGUUGGUAAGGUAAUGGCUUACCAAGGCUAUGACGGGUAGGGGAUUUGAGAGGAUGACCCCCCAGAAUGGGACUGAGACACGGCCCAUACACCUACGGGUGGCAGCAACCGGGAAUCGUGCGCAAUGGACGAAAGUCUGACGCCGCGACGUCGCGUGAAGGAUGAAGGCCGUUUGGUCGUAAACUUCUUUUGCCAUAAGGGUGACCUUGUGGAGAAUAAGCACCUGCUAACUCUGUGCCAGCAGCCGCGGUAAUACAGAGGGUGCAAGCGUUAUCCGGAUUUACUGGGCGUAAAGCGUUUCGUAGGCGGUUUGGUAAGUUAUAAUUCAAAGACCACGGCUUAACCGGGGGAAGGGUUGUAAUACUGCCAGACUAUUAGAGGGUUCAAGGGGCAACUGGAACUGUUGGUGUAGGAGUGAAAUCCGUUGAUAUCAACAGGAACGUCAAGGGCGUAGGCAAGUUGCUGGGGAACAUCUGACGCUGAGGAACGAAAGCUAGGGGAGCGAAAGGGAUGGGUUAAUAAAAUCUAGUUCCUCCGUUAAGUAAUUAACGGUUAAAAAAUUUGGCUAUAUGCUGGAAUAACUGAGUAUCUUAAACUAGUAUUGACUUUGGUUUUAAUUCGGAUAAUACUGAAUUAAUGCCUAGAUUAAAUACUAAUAAUGUUUUAAGUGCAGUCAAUCAGCAGGGAAGAUCUCGAAAGAGAAACCCUCAGAGACUAAAUGCCAAAUAUCCUACUAGUAAGAAUAGAAUAACUGACAUAGAAGCAACUUUAUUAGGUAUUUUAUACACUGAUGGUUGUCUAUCAAGAAAAGGUAAGAAUGCUUGGAGAUUUUAUCUAAGCAACACUUCUUAUAGAAUUAUACAAAUAUUUAAAAAUUGUAUGGUUGAUCUUUUUAAAUUAGACAUCAAAAGAAUACGAAUAUCUAAAAGACAAGUUAAUGGAAAACCUUUUUACAAAGCAAUUGUAGAUAGUGCAUUAUGUGGAGAAUUUUUAAAUUCAAAAUAUGGUACAUUUCGAACGCUCGCUUAUAAAAAUAUAGAGGGUAAAGAAAUUUAUCCUCAGACAAAGUUACCAUUUAACAAAGAAUCUGAUCACAAAAUAAUUUGCAAGUUUUUAAAAACUGCAUUUAGUUGUGAUGGGGGCAUAAAUUUAUAUGUAGCAAAAUCAAAGUUUGGAUACAAAUUUUUGAUUAGAAAUGCAUAUUUAGCUUGCAAACAUCCACAAUUACAAAAAGAUUAUCAUAAUCUACUAAAGAUUGUUGGUAUUAAAUCUAAAAUUAUAUAUAAAGAUUGGAAGAUACUUAUUCAAGGCAGAGAUGAAUUGAAUAAAUUUGAAGAAAAAGUUGGUUUUAUAAGCGAAGCUUGCAAACUUCGUUUAUAAAAGGAGUAAAAAUAACACAAAAUUCUAAAUUUUGGCAAGGUGCCGAAAAAGAAAAAGUGUUAAAUUUUGCAAUUAAUUCUUACAAUAAUCCAAGAAAGAUAAUUAAUCUUUCUAGAUUUAUUAGAGGAUAAAGAUAUAGUCCGACCUUACAAGCGAUUGUAAGACUACGUGUUGAAUCGUAGUUGCAAACUUAUGUUUGCUAAUAACAAGGUCUGUAGAGACCCCUGUAGUCCUAGCCGUAAACUUUGCCUGCUAGCGAUGGGGAGUUAAAUCUCCGUUGCGUAAGCUAACGCGUUAAGCGGGCCGCCUGGGGAGUACGAACGCAAGUUUAAAACUCAAAGGAAUUGACGGGAAGGCGCACAACCAGUGGAGCAUGUGGUUUAAUUCGAAACGAACCGAAGAACCUUACCCAGUCUUGACAUGCUAUCGUUUAUUUUUCCAGAAAUGGAGAGAAAUCCUUUAGAAAUAUUGGAUGAUAGCACAGGUGUUGCAUGGCCGUCGUCAGCUCGUGUCGUAAAAACAAGAACACUUUGCGACCCACCAAAGUAAUUUGGUGUGAAAAAUCUGACUCAUAUCGGGGGAACUAUUGAUCUUUAGGGUUAUUAAGGUAUAACCUAAAAUCAUACAAUCCCGAGGGAAGUCGAGAAUUUUACAUGCUGGAAUUUACUGCUCGUAAGAAUUUAAAGUUAAAAGUUUCCAAUCAUCAAAUGGAGAUACUUUUGGGUUGUUUAUUGGGUGAUGCUUACAUAACUAAACUUGGAAAAGUUCAGUUUGAACAAAGCAUCAAACAACUUCCAUAUUUAAUGUGGAAGUAUGAUCAAUUUAACAAUCUCGCUUACGGUGUACCGACUUUUGUUAGUAGGUACGACGUGAGAUAUGGAAAAGAAUAUAAAAGUGCCAGAUUCUGGCUCAGACAAUAUUUUAGGCCAUUAAGAGAAGAAUUUUAUCCUGAAGGAAGUAAAAUUUUUCCUAUUAAGUUUUCAAAAUACUUUACUAAAAUUGCUUUAGCAGUUUGGUAUAUGGAUGAUGGGAAUAUAUAUAAAGGUAGAAACAUUAAAAUUUCUGCCGAUAAUUUUGAUUCUAAGAGUAGGGAGAUACUUAAAAACUUACUUUUUAAAAAGUUUGGUUUGGAAAGUACGAUUCAGAAUAGUGGAAAAAUAAGGAUUUCAGGAAAGUCUGUUAAAGAUUUUCUAGAAAUUGUUAAACCACAUAUUCAUUCCAAUAUGUUAUACAAGAUUCUUUGACCCCGUAACGACUGAAGUUGAUUUUAUUAUCAACCGAGAUAUGAGAUUUAAAGCUCAUAUCACACGUCAGCUCCCUUACCAAAAUUUGGUUUAGGGAUGAAGGUAUAGUCUAAAUUAUAAUUAUUUUUCAGCCGUUAGGCUGUGUAGUUAAUAAAAUAAUUGGAGGUGUUCCCUUCAGUGGGGUAACGAGCGCAACCCCUGCCCUGAGUUAAAUAUUCUCAGGGGACUUCCCUCAUUUAUUGCGGGAGGAAGUGGGGACGACGUCAGGUCAGCAUGGCCCUUAUGACUGGGGCAACACACAUACUACAAUGGAGCCGACAAUGGGUUGCCAACGCGUAAGCGGGAGCUAAUCCCAUCAAACGGCUUCUCAGUGGGGAUUGAGGGCUGCAACUCGCCCUCAUGAACAUGGAAUUGGUAGUAAUCGCGGGUCAGCUAUACCGCGGUGAAUACGUUCUCGCCUUUUGUACACACCGCCAAGGAAGAUAUUUUUUAAGUAAAUAUCAAUGGUAAUUUCGCGCGAGGCAGUUAUAGCAAGGUUUUAUAACCUUGAUAUAUGAUUUUUCAUAAAAUCAUAUAAUUUCUACCGAGUUUAAAUCUCGGCCUCCAAUUAAAGAUUGGAGCGUAGCCAAAAAAAAUUGGCAGGUUAGGUCGAGUAAUUGACUAGCUGGAGGGCCUGAGGCAAAAAGCAGGGAUUAUUUUUAUAAGUUAUGACGACUUUUGUUGGGCGGUCAGAAGGAAGUUGUCAAAGAAAAAACUUUUAAUUCAUGCAAGGAAAAGAAUUUAUAAUGACCCUUGGAGAUCCUAGAAUGAUUAGGAGGUCAAUGCUUUCUAGGAAGUCAGCAUUUCUAUAGUAGGUUAUUGAAAAGUUCGGGUUUUAUUAUUAAACUGGAAUAUAUCAGUAAUUGAAGGGAAAUACGUAAUAUUAAGUCUGAUUUAUUAGAUUUUAGUAGUAAAACACGAUUUUUUACGAAUAAUAUUACGGCUCGCCCGAUGCGAGAAAGUCGCUCGUCGGGUGGAAACGCACUAUAACCUCUAAGUAAAGUGCAAUCCGUCAAGGCAGUAAAGUUAAAGGUACCCGAAUCUCGGUUUUGCCGGGAGAAGGUAAAUUUAGCGAUAAGGCUUAAGUCGUCCGCUUUUUAGUGGCGUGCGACCCUUAGCAGUAAUGCUAAAGAAAAAUUUGGCUAAUAUCGGUGAAACCCUAGUUGAUAUUCGGAUUAAAUUCGUUUAAUCUAAUAUUAGCGGGCAAUACCGAGGGAAGCUAUGCCAAGCAAUCAUCACACAAACAGUAAAUGGCUUAAAGAAUAUAAAAGCAAAUUGUUUCUAACAGACCUACAGAAAGAAGUUUUGAUCGGAACACUCUUAGGAGACGGAUCGAUUAAGAUAUCAGUUUCUGGAAAAGCUGCUAGAUUACAAAUUUGUCACUCCUUUGAUUAUAAAGAAUAUGUUUUUUGGAAGAAAAGUAUUUUUAAAGAAUGGGUUUUAAGUGGACCUAAAUAUUAUAAAGUGAAUAACUCAUUAAUUUUUAGAACUAUGUUCUAUAUUAAUAAAGUUAAAAUAAUUCCAAAAGAUAUUAACAAUAUAUUAAAAAGUGAUUUAAGUUUAGCUGUUUGGUUUAUGGAUGAUGGUAACGGAUAUCGUAAAAAUGAUGCAUUCAGAUUAAGUACAUAUGCAUUUAGAUAUAACGGUAAUCUUUUAUUACAAAAGUGCUUACUUAAGAAUUUUGGAAUCAAAACAAGUUUGAUUAAAGAUUCUAAAGGUUAUCAAAUUUAUAUUCCCAUAACUGGAGGUGUAUCAGAUAGGUUUAAAAAACUUAUAUAUAAAUACAUUAUUCCAAAGAUGAGAUAUAAAUUUAGAAGCAUUAGCCCCGUAGAGACUGAUUCGAAAGAAGAGAUGGUUUGAGAUAUAACCAUAAUAUGCCAACCCCUAUUGAUUUAUUUAAUAGGAUGAAGAUAUAGUCCAUACCACACGAAAGUCGUGGAAUAAAUAUGAACAAGGUAUCCCUACUGGAAGGUGGGGAUGGAUCACCUCCUU